rnacentral:rRNA from 1 species
GAUGAACGCUGGCGGCGUGCCUAAUACAUGCAAGUCGAGCGAACGGACGAGAAGCUUGCUUCUCUGAUGUUAGCGGCGGACGGGUGAGUAACACGUGGAUAACCUACCUAUAUGACUGGGAUAACUUCGGGAAACCGGAGCUAAUACCGGAUAAUAUUUUGAACCGCAUGGUUCAAAAGUGAAAGACGGUCUUGCUGUCACUUAUAGAUGGAUCCGCGCUGCAUUAGCUAGUUGGUAAGGUAACGGCUUACCAAGGCAACGAUGCAUAGCCGACCUGAGAGGGUGAUCGGCCACACUGGAACUGAGACACGGUCCAGACUCCUACGGGAGGCAGCAGUAGGGAAUCUUCCGCAAUGGGCGAAAGCCUGACGCAGCAACGCCGCGUGAGUGAUGAAGGUCUUCGGAUCGUAAAACUCUGUUAUUAGGGAAGAACAUAUGUGUAAGUAACUGUGCACAUCUUGACGGUACCUAAUCAGAAAGCCACGGCUAACUACGUG